GUGAGGAAUUUUGCGCAAUGGGGGCAACCCUGACGCAGCGACGCCGCGUGGAGGACGAAGUCUUUCGGGAUGUAAACUCCUGUCAGUGGGGACGAUAAUGACGGUACCCACAGAGGAAGCACCGGCUAACUCCGUGCCAGCAGCCGCGGUAAGACGGAGGGUGCAAGCGUUGUUCGGAAUUACUGGGCGUAAAGCGUACGUAGGCGGCAAGUUAAGUUCAAUGUUAAAGCCCACGGCUCAACCGAGGAGAUGCAUUGAAUACUGGCUAGCUAGAGGGUGUUAGAGGAAGACGGAAUUCCCAGUGUAGCGGUGAAAUGCGUAGAUAUUGGGAGGAACAUCGGUAGCGAAAGCGGUCUUCUGGGACACACCUGACGCUGAGGUACGAAAGCGUGGGGAGCAAACGGGAUUAGAUACCCUAGUAGUCC
rnacentral:rRNA from 1 species